AUGAGGUCACAAGGGAUAUACAAGGGCGAGGAUUGGUGUAUGCUCUUUCCGGAUGAUGUGGUGCUAGUCGACGAUAGUCGGAUGGGGAUUAAUAAAAAGCUAGAGCUGUGGAGACAGCCUUUAGAAUCGAAAGGUUUUAGGCUUAGUAGAACUAAGACCGAGUAUAUGAAGUGCAGUUUCAGUACUACUAGGCACGAGGAGGAAGUUAGCCUUGAUGGGCGGGUGCUACCUCAGGCCACCUGUCAAUAUUUGGGGUCAAUGCUGCAGAAGGAUGGUGAUAUCAAUGAAGAUGUGAUCCAUCGAACCAAAGUUGUAUGGAUGAAGUGA
rnacentral:rRNA from 1 species